UACGUAGGGGGCAAGCGUUGUCCGGAAUCAUUGGGCGUAAAGCGCGCGUAGGCGGCCCUGUAAGUCCGCUGUGAAAGUCAAAGGCUCAACCUUUGAAAGCCGGUGGAUACUGCAGGGCUAGAGUCCGGAAGAGGCGAGUGGAAUUCCUGGUGUAGCGGUGGAAUGCGCAGAGUAUCAGGAGGAACACCAAUAGCGAAGGCAGCUCGCUGGGACGGUACUGACGCUAAGGCGCGAAAGCGUGGGGAGCGAACA
rnacentral:rRNA from 1 species